rnacentral:lncRNA from 1 species
CGGUCAAACACUCAGCCUAGGGCCAGCCGCUACCAGCAUUCUCCUCCGAUGACUGCAGGGACGUGGUUCAUAUCCAUAAAACCAAAAGGUGAGGUGACACGGAGACGUGGGCCUCCCCAUCUGGAGGUGCGGACAGAUCCCACAGUUGGGUAGAGACGCUUGGGUUGGAGGAGCUGGGCCUGGUGUUAGAGCAGCUGGGGUUCUGGAAGCGUUGCCACUGUCCAGGGAGAAGACGUGGAGAAAACCGAGGCCGCCCGAGACUGAACCUGGGGAACGAGUACAUAACGGAG